UCUCCGUAGGUGAACCUGCGGAGGGAUCAUUACAGAGUUUUUGCCCGCAAGGGUAGAUCUCCCACCCUAUGUUAUUCCUUCUCUGUUGCUUUGGCGGGUCGCCCGGCCUCGGUCAGGCCACCGGCUCCGGCUGGUGAGCGCCCGCCAGAGGACCCCAAACCCUAAAUGUCAGUGUCGUCUGAGUACUAUAUAAUAGUUAAAACUUUCAACAACGGAUCUCUUGGUUCUG
rnacentral:misc_RNA from 1 species